UUCAAUAUACUGCUGAAUUAUAUCAUGAAUUGCAUGCCUUAGACAGGUUUGAUCAAGUAUUCGACGACAAGCUUUUCGACUCUUCUGUCAUACCUGCGAUCCUUGUACAAUAGCUUCACUCCUUCUCCUGGAUUUCAAGUCAAUUAAGCCAAUUGGAAUCACCAAAUUGCCGUAAGUGAAUGUCGGCAUUGUCAUUACAGCAAACAUAAACGUUACCUGCAAGAAACACCCCAAACCAUAACAGUCAAUUUAGAAACAUGCUGGAUACACAAGCUACCCAAAACGAGUACAAAACCGACCGAUGUUUCAAAUUUUCAUUACAGUAAAAGAACAAAUUAGUAGCAAGGUAGUCGAAUUUCAAGAAAUCCCAAUUCCAAAGGAGUUCCAACCACAACAUGAUUUCCAUUAAACCACAUGGAAUUCGGUUUUGACCAACUCAACUGGUAUUAAUACUGCUAGCAUCAUCUCAUUCUCCAUUUGAAAACACAUGUUGCCAAUUAUGCUAGCAUGCCAGCCUAACCGAGUCCAACUUGACUGUUAUAAUACAAACCUGCGACAAACAAUAAUUAACAUAACAGCAGACAACAGCCGGCAUAAAGUAAUAAACCAACAGCAGCAAAAUGCGUAACCACUCCAACAAUGAAGCAUACCUUGUGGCACACAGCAGACUUUACCGGUGGACAAGCCAGCAUUCAUACGACACUGUAUCAUAUGCCCUCACGAGUUUUGCCUUUUGAGAAGUUACCGUAAGUAAAUGCCGGCAUGGUGUGAACUACAAGACGGGUUUUGUUCUUUGUCUUCAAAGCUCGUCAAACCUCUCUUGAAUCUUCAAUAUAUUUUCACUACACAAUUGAACCUAUCAUCCACCAGACCGUUGAACCGGAACCAACCACUCUGAGUCUUCAAUAAUUUUUCCACUGCAGUAACAAAAGAUUAACAGCAAAGCAUUAAAAUCCAGAAAUUUCCCAUUGGGAUUAAGGCAAAAGCGAUUAAAAACUAAGUUCAGAUACCCUUUCGAAUCGCAGCAUCAACAGGGCCAAUCCAGUUACUGAACACAAAAAUGUUUUGGCAUUGUUCUUCUUGAGCUCUAGAGACAAUCGGAAACCCUAAUCUGGAGCAUAAAAGGAGAGAAAGAGAAAUCAGUGAAAAGAAACGGCGAUUUCGAAAACGAGGGAGGGGAUUUUGAAAAACGGAGAACAAAACCCUAAUCAUAGACAGAGAGCGGCGAGAACUUUUAAAAGAACCCUCAAACCAACAUCGAUACAUAUUGACUGAUAGAGAGGCGAAUUAGUGAAGUUUAUUGAGGCCGUCGUUCACCGUCUUCACCGCCGAGGUGUAGCUCUUUCUGCUUCAGCCUUUUGUUUUUGUACGAUCAGCGAUCGAGAAGACGAUGAAGGACGUGGAGAGGACGGCAAGACUAUUAGGGUUGUGGUGAGCACGCUUUGAGAGAGAAAAUUAAGGUUGUGGAGAGAGGUGGUGAACGAGCUUGAGAGUGACAGUGUGAGUGAGAGCUUGUGAGGAGACUGGAUCCAUUUUGUUUUUUCUUUCUUUAUUGUCUUGUUUUCAUUUAUUUAUUAAUAGAGUCAAGUAGUUUUUUUAAAAAAAAACAUUUAUUAAAAAAAAUUCCUUUUCAUUUUCCUAGGUUCAGUUAAUAUUAUUUUUCCAGUUUCCCAUUUUUGUUUGAAGAAAACCAACGGCCAAGGGGUUGAUUAGUGAGGCGGUACUCGUACCGUUUUUAUUAUUAGUUUUUUCCUUUUAAUUCUCUUUUAGUUUAUCUUAGUUUACUACAUUUAAUUAGCAUUAAAUAUCAGUUAGUUGUAAGUGUCUGGUGGAGGGAGUUGGCUUCUUAGAUCUUUUAGUGUAGUGAGCGUUCCCUACUCCUAGGCGUAGUUCUUCUUUUAUUAUUUCUUCUUUAUUUAUGCUUUAUUAUUCAUAUUUUUGUCUUUUUUUAUUAUUGUUUACUAUAUUAGAUUUGUUUUCUUUUUAUUGCAUCAUGCAUUCGAACCAUUUUUUUUUAACUUAUAAACAUAUAUAUUUUCCGAUUUAAUAUCAGCCCUUUUUCACACCCUUGUAAGUUCGUUGCUUUUUUAAGCCAUCGCCGUCAACCUACAUAGGCUUACUCUUGGGCUUCUCGUCCAAGAAGCCGGUUCUCUUUGCACUUACACUCAUGCAUUGCCUUAUUUGUUGUUUGGGCACCGAAUUUAAUUAUUCAUGAUUUUUUAAUCCCCAUUUGACAGAAUGUACCCCAUUCCCCCGAUGUUAAUAAUUUGGUAAACAUUUUUAUUUCUUUAUUACUGACGUUUAGUUAGAUACUAACACAAGAUAAAAUCACAAAUUUCAAAAAAAUACAAAUAUGACUCGAUCAACGUCGAAGUAUUUUCUCAUUAAACAAAUCAAUUCCUUUCUCUCUCCUAUGCGUAUUCCAUUUUCUUUCACAACUCUCAUCAAACGCUUGAUUCAACGUUCCAAGCCCUUCUUUCGGUGAUAAACAACUUCAAAAAAAUAUUAAUCUACAUUAAGACCUUUUCAAUAAGGUGGAAAUGAACGUGGUGUAUACCACGCACUCCUGAGACUAGGAUUCGAGAUGNNNNNNNNNNNNNNNNNNNNNNNNNGUUUCGAUCCUAGAUCCUGACUUUGAUUCCAAGUUUUUUUGUGCCUUAAACCAACGUCUGGUUUUCGCAGUAUUUUCAGUCAAUUGUUGUUGAGCCAACCGUUUAAGGGUGAGUUGUAGUCACAUGUGUAACGGUCAGAGGUCAAUUGUUGAGUAUUUCGGUGUCAGGUAUAUCGAACUGCUCUGAAAGAGAUUUCCAAUUUUGUUCAAUACAUUCAGGUCAUGUAUGACCUGUUGUUGGCUUAUUCAUUCGGGGUCAGUCUACUUGAAUUGCUCUGAAGAGUUUUUUCAAUUUUGUUGAAUACAUUCAGUCUCUGUAUGAACCGUUGUUGAGCUUUAUUCGGCUGUCAGGUCAUACUUGAACCGCUCUGAAGAGUUUUUCCAAUUUUGUUCAAUCAUUCAGGUCAUGUAUGAACCUGUGUUUGAAGUGUUAUUGCCCGGGUCAGGUCAUACUUGAACUUGCUCUGAAGAUGUUUUUUCAAUUUUUUGUCAAACCAUUCAGGUCAUGUAUGAACCUGUUGUUGAGCUUUUCACGGUGUCAAGUUCAUACUUGAACCUGCUCUGAAGAGUUUUUCAUUUUUGUCAAUACCAUUCAGGUUCAUGUAUGAACCUGUUGUUGAGCUUUUAUUCCGGGGUAGGUCAUACUAACUUGCUCUGAAGAGUUUUUCAAUUUUGUUCAAUACUAUUCAGGUCAUGUUGGACCUGUUUGUGAGCUUUUAUUCGGGUCAGGGUCAUACUUGAACCUGCUCUGAAGAGUUUUUCCAAUUUUUGUUCAAUAUAUUCAGGUCAUGUAUGACUGUUGUUGAACCCUUAUUCCGGUGUCAGGUCAUACUUUGAACCUGCUCUGAAGAUUUUUCUCUGUUUGUUCAAUUACCAUUCAGGUCAUGUAUACCUGUUGUUGAACCCUUAUUCCGGUGUCAGGUCAUACAUGAACCUGUUCUGAAGAGUUUUUCUCCAUGAUUAUUCCCCAGCGUUGUCAGGUCAUAUGUGAACUGGUUGUAGCAUCUUUUCCUUGAUUCGGGUUAAUAAGUCAUAUGUGAACUUACUACUGAAACCUCUUGUAUCCCAAGUAUCGAUUAAUCAAAUCUCAUUUUGAUUACUCCCCAGUGUGUGCCUGAUUCUCCAGCAGGACUGUCUCCCCAGCAAGUUGUUUCUUACCAUUUGUCUGUCUCCCUGUGGAUCAUCAGUAUUCCCCACAGUUUUGGUCUGUCUAGUAGCAUCUCCUGUUAAGGGUCCACCAUAUCCCUAGCAGAUAAAAAAAAUUUUACAAAAAAAAAAAGAAUCAUGCAUCCACGCAUAUCAUGCCAUGCAUAUCAUAUCAUAUCACAUCAUGUCGUAGGGAUUCAGGAUCAAAAUCCGGGUCUUCUUAGUAUUUAACCAUCUUCCACUAUGACCAUAUGAAGAUUGUCCUGCUUCAUAUGAUCUAGUUGAAGAUACUUAAAUAGGGGCAACUGUCAUACCCCGAUUUUGACCCUGAAUUUUUUUCAUUUUUUUUUUCUCAUUUUUAUUUGGCACUUGGCCUAAAGUUCAUUUGCAUACAUUCAUUCCCAAAUCCAUAUUUUUGUUACACAUUGGUCAUUGUUAGCUUUUUUUGAUCAUGUGCUUUGUUAUUAUAAAAUGGAUUUUAAUAUCUUGACUCUUUUUUAAUUUGAUAUUUAAUUUCAAAUGAGUUUAAUUCCAAUUGCAAUUUAUCUUAUUUGUAUUUUUACUAAUGAUUAAACUCUAAUCGAUUUUUAUUUCAAACUGAUGUUAGAGUUGAUACUCAAGUAAUUUUAAAUGAAUUAUAGAUUAAUUUGUUUUUAAUUUGGUUUUUUUGCUGAUUUGUUAUUAGUAAUUAAAUUGAUAUUCAAACUAAUAUUGGAUUAUUCCUAAAAAUCCACAUCCAUUUUUAUAAUCAAAAUCCAAAAUCCAAAAUCCAUUUUGUAUCCAUAAUGCAUUUCAAAUCAAAACAAUACAUACAUACAUUUGAUAACAUUUUUUCCAGCAUUCACAAACCCAUAACAUCCACUAGGUAGUAGUAUGACAAAUUUGAAUCUCAGUAGUGGUUUUACAUCGGGAGUUAUAACAAAAGGGAAUAAAAUUUCAAUUUUGGCCUUUGAAGUUGCAAACACAAUAGUUAAGGGUGCCAAUCUAAUGCAAUCUCUUUCAAAAGAGGGCAUUAAACAUUUAAAAGAGGCCGUUCUGCCAUCUGAUGGAGUGCAAAAUUUAGUGUCUAGAGAUAUGAAUGAACUCCUGAGAAUUGCUGCUGCAGACAAGAGAGAAGAAUUGAAAAUAUCUUCUGGCGAAGUUGUGCGUUUUGGAAAUAGAUGCAAAGAUCCUCAGUGGCACAACCUGGAACGCUAUUUCGAGAAGUUAGGUUCAGAGCUUUCACCACAAAGGCAAUUAAAAGAGGAGGCAGAGACGGUGAUGCAACAAUUAAUGACUUUUGUUCAAUAUACUGCUGAAUUAUAUCAUGAAUUGCAUGCCUUAGACAGGUUUGAUCAAGUAUUCGACGACAAGCUUUUCGACUCUUCUGUCAUACCUGCGAUCCUUGUACAAUAGCUUCACUCCUUCUCCUGGAUUUCAAGUCAAUUAAGCCAAUUGGAAUCACCAAAUUGCCGUAAGUGAAUGUCGGCAUUGUCAUUACAGCAAACAUAAACGUUACCUGCAAGAAACACACCAAACCAUAACAGUCAAUUUAGAAACAUGCUGGAUACACAAGCUACCCAAAACCGAGUACAAAAC
rnacentral:lncRNA from 1 species